rnacentral:tRNA from 1 species
GGCGGUGUAGCUCAGCUGGCUAGAGCGUACGGUUCAUACCCGUGAGGUUCGGGGGUUCGAUCCCCUCCGCCGCUACCA